CACCCAUCAGUAGGUUUACUUUCCUAGUAUCCUUUAGUAGAUACUCAAUCAUCUAGCAUCUCUCAAUAGAUGCUAUGCCCAAUAAACAAUGUUCAAUAGUAAUUAAAAUUACAUCACCAAAAAUAAAAUCAAAUAAAAUAAAAAACAAAAGAAAAAUAAUGUUUUUAGAUCAUUGGGGUGCCUCCCAGCAAGCGCUCUUCUAACAUCAUUAGCUUGACCC
rnacentral:lncRNA from 1 species